UACAGAGGGUGCAAGCGUUAAUCGGAGUUACUGGGCGUAAAGGGCGCGUAGGCUGAUGUUUAAGUUAAUUGUGAAAUCCCUGGGCUUAACCUAGGAAUUGCAGUUAAUACUGGACGUCUAGAGUAUGGUAGAGGAAAGUGGAAUUCUCGGUGUAGUGGUUAAAUACGUAGAUAUCGAGAAGAACACCGGUGGCGAAGGCGACUUUCUGGACCAAUACUGACGCUGAGGCGCGAAAGCGUGGGGAGCAAACAGG
rnacentral:rRNA from 1 species